CUCCCCAUGGUGAAAAAAACCAAAAUUUCUGUGCUGGCACCAGCCUCUGAGCCACCUAUUAACCACGCGAGCUUUCCGUGUCCUAUAUAUCUAUGCGUACACAUACUUUUUCAGUUCUUUGUGUUUCUCAGCUGUUUUUGAGAGAGGAUUACAUACACGGGCAUGGUGUUGAAGCACAACAUCCAAGUGUUCAUUUAAAAAGUCUCCUGUUGGUAUAUUGCAUGGUUAGCUACAGGCUGGGAUUAAUCAAUUAAUCAAUCUGCUUAACUGAUUCCUGUUCCUCAGUUUCUUCCCCCUAGAAAUGGAGGUAUUAUAAUCCAAUCCCAGAGUGAUUUUAAGAGGUGCUGGGGGAUAACUAUACUGUGGUGAUCAUGGUGGGUAGGAGUAUUUAAACUAACAUUAGGUUUCAGCUCCAAAUGGAGUGAGACACUCAGAAACAGGUGGGAGAAUGAAGGGAAAUUCAAGGACUUUGAACAAUUCAGGGAAACUCUAAAUGAGACGUACUAUUACUAGAGAAGAAAAUUACCUACAAACUGGAGAGAAUCCACAGAAAAGCAAAGAGGAUACUGGAAAACUACCAUGAGGGAAGGCUGAAGUCAAUGCAUUUACUUUACAAAAAAAAGAGUAGACUGAACACAGGAAUGACAAGUUUUCCAUUUAAUUUUUUAUGAACUACUUCAAGCUGAACAGUGCUCAGUUUUUCCACCUUUGCCACCGGAUGGAUGACAUCAGCACAGCUAAUCUGCAAAAGGAAGAAGAGAGUCAUUUACCCCUGUCCCGUGCUGUGCCAAGAUACAUAAGGUACUUCAAAAACUAGGAAAAGCAGAUGAAACAAAAGAUGAACAAUUUGAAGAAUAUGUACAAAAUUUCAAAAGACAAGAGGUCAGUUACUUUUUCAGUUUCUUUAAUUGUCUCUUAAGAAGAAUGCACUGUAUUUUAACUUUUGAUUUUGAAGAAGGUGUUGCAGGGGAGAAAGUAAAAGAAAAUGUUUUGAACCAUAUUGGUGUAAGAUUUUGUUCAACAGUUUUCAAACAGAAAAGAAUGAUUGGAUUUGUGUGUGCAAAUAUGUAAGAUGUGCAUUCAUAUUAAAUAGCUAUAUUCUAAUAAUGUACAACACUGUCAUGCCAGAACUCCUUGGGAUCAAUGAAGUGUAUGCACAUUUUCAACAGUGUAAUUGAGAACAAAACCCAAACCCAAUGUGAUAUAGCUUUGUAGUUGCCUUGUUACAAAGAAAUAAUUUAUUUCCUUGGUUUCAUUUUGUGGGUUGUUUUCAUCAAUGGUAUAUAAUAAUACUAGUUUUAUAUGAAGUGAACAGCAGAAUAGUUUUAGACUGCUGUGUGUUGUUAUGCUCCCUGUUAGUGCAGGGAUGACAAGAUCUGUGGUGGCAGUGCUGAUGAAUCACUCCUGGGGAGCAGGGUUCAAUUAUAAACACAUAUGAAAACAAAGGUGCCCUUAAGAGUUUAUAAUCUGCUCCCAGUGCAAUGUUAAAUUCUAACCUCUAUUACUCCUCACUUUGUUGGACAGACUUUUCAGCUCCAAGUUGAUUAAUUGCAAUUAAUUAUAUAGCAGCAUUCUAGUACAAAUUAAUGCCUACCAUGAGCUGCAUUAAUGCCAUCAAGAAAACAAUCUCAUUAUGUAAGUGUGAACUGAGGUAUCAGUAGCCUUCAUGAGCUAUCUUUUAAAGCUCAUAUGUAAAGGUACUGAAGGGUAAGAACUACUUCCACACUUUACGUGAUGUAAAAAUUUGUUCAUUUUAGGGUUUUCAAUUCCUACCCUGAGUCAGUCCUGUCUACCACAUGCAUUUCUGUCCUUUCCACAUAAACACAAAUCAUGCACUCUGAUUUGCUAGGGCACUGACUAACUCUUUUAUAUCUUAUGGUGACUUAGCCAUUAUUUUCCACUGUCUGUCUAGAGAAAGAGAGGGAGGUUUGGGGAGUAACUGGGCUGGGCAGAUGUCCAUUCUUCCCCCAAAAUGAUGAUGAUGGGAAGUAAAGAAUCUGUUUCUCUAACGAGGGUGGUUCCUUCCUCAAGGUCAGGAAGAUGAUGGGAUAUAAUAGGGCUGAAAAAACAC
ensembl:lncRNA